UCAUUUGGGAGGGCCUGUAUUCACCGUUGGGGUGUGUGUGAAGCCGUCAGUGCGCCCUCAGGCAUCACCCUGCAGAGACCAAGUUGCCAACAUCUGCUGGAUCAUAGAAAAAAUAAGAGAAUUCCAGAAAAACAUCUGCUUCAUUGACUACGCUAAAGCCUUUGACUGUGUGGGUCACAACAAACUGUGGAAAAUUCUUCCAACAAAAUGGCACAGAUUCCAGUGUUGAUGCAUUCAGACAAAUCGACUCCCAGACAGGGCAUAUUCUUUACUGACUGAGCUACGAGGGAAGCCCCAACUGGACCAGUUCCCAAAUCAGGGUCCCCAGGAUAAACACCUGCCUUGAUCGUGGAAACACGGAGAUUUGCUUGAAGGCCAGUCAAGCCUCAGCCCAGAGGUGCAGUCAGGAGGACACUGCGGACUGACUUCUCGCAGGACAGAGUCCCUGCUCUUUCUUAC
ensembl:lncRNA